AGUGAACGCUGGCGGUAGGCCUAACACAUGCAAGUCGAACGGCAGCACAGUAAGAGCUUGCUCUUACGGGUGGCGAGUGGCGGACGGGUGAGGAAUACAUCGGAAUCUACUUUUUCGUGGGGGAUAACGUAGGGAAACUUACGCUAAUACCGCAUACGACCUACGGGUGAAAGCAGGGGAUCUUCGGACCUUGCGCGAUUGAAUGAGCCGAUGUCGGAUUAGCUAGUUAGCGGGGUAAAGGCCCACCAAGGCGACGAUCCGUAGCUGGUCUGAGAGGAUGAUCAGCCACACUGGAACUGAGACACGGUCCAGACUCCUACGGGAGGCAGCAGUGGGGAAUAUUGGACAAUGGGCGCAAGCCUGAUCCAGCCAUACCGCGUGGGUGAAGAAGGCCUUCGGGUUGUAAAGCCCUUUUGUUGGGAAAGAAAAGCAGCAGGUUAAUACCCCGCUGUUCUGACGGUACCCAAAGAAUAAGCACCGGCUAACUUCGU
rnacentral:rRNA from 1 species